rnacentral:rRNA from 4 species
UACGAAGGGGGCUAGCGUUGCUCGGAAUCACUGGGCGUAAAGGGCGCGUAGGCGGCUGAUUUAGUCGAGGGUGAAAGCCCGUGGCUCAACCACGGAAUGGCCUUCGAUACUGGUUGGCUUGAGACCGGAAGAGGACAGCGGAACUGCGAGUGUAGAGGUGAAAUUCGUAGAUAUUCGCAAGAACACCAGUGGCGAAGGCGGCUGUCUGGUCCGGUUCUGACGCUGAGGCGCGAAAGCGUGGGGAGCAAACAGG